UACGAAGAGAACAACAAGAACUCAACCGUUUCUUGCAGGAGAAAAUAAAUUAUUACUACAAUGCAUUGCUUUAAACUGAUAAGCAUUAUGAUGCUAUUAGCUAUCACCAUUGACCUAUGUGUUGGUUCCAUCAAUCCGAAAUGGACGGCGUCUACUGUCUUCCCUGAUCCCAGUCAUCUGCGGAACAUGAUAACGGUGCCUGACAACUGCCCUGGAGAACAAAAAUACAUAAACGGCAUGUGUCGCGACUUG